ensembl:lncRNA LINC03002 long intergenic non-protein coding RNA 3002
AGCCAUAAUUGCCCUGCAAUGGAUCAUGGAUCCCAGGCUGCUUCUGGACAGGCUCCAGACUCACUGGAGACAUCCUGACACAUAAUGCUUCGCCCAGCACAAUGCGAUGCCCUUUACCUAGUAAAAGGGUGAGUCCCGUAAAGGUGCUGCCUUCCCCCCAGAACAAACAAGGGAAAUGCAUCAGGAGAGCUCAGCUGCAGACAGAAUGCACAUCAUGAAGCAGGAGCCACCCUGGGAUUCCUCAGAUGAAAGCCAAUUUCAAUGAACAUUGUGUUUCAAAGCCCGCUUCCUCUUGCUCGGUAAGAGCUGCAGAAGGAACAUCCCACUUGAGUCUGCUGACACAAAAGAAUGCUGUGGCUGGGAGAUCUUAUCGAGCCUUCCUGUGCCACAGCAACAGAGCUCCAGUUGUGUCUUGUAAGAAUUGGUCAUUGUUUCAUGGGGACGACUGGCUCCUUUGGGUGGGAUCUGAUGGCAUCUCAUGGAGUUGAGGUAGGUGGUGCUGGGAGGUCAGCCAGCCACAUGACCUGGCUUGCUGGCUUCUCGGAAGUCAGAUAGAAGAGCAAACUUCACCCAGUUUGCUGGAUGCCGAAUAGUUAAACAUUUUAAGUUUAACCAUUAAAAUAUGUAUUUUCUGUUUCCUUAAUAAUAUCUUCAACUGUACAAGUUAAGAACAAAAAUUAGAAAUGAUGUUCAGGUUUUCUCAGUUGGUAUAAGCUGUUUAUUGUUCUCUUUUAACCAACAGUUAUUUGAUUCUAACAAAACUGAGGAAAAUCAAGUAGUGUUUUGAAAAAUAUAAAUUUAAUUAUUUAAAACUAUCUAUGGAGAAUGUAGAUGCUAAUACGUAAACAUUUUAGUGUUGAUGACAUAAGUCUCAAAAAUAUUUAUUUGCUUCGUGAAGAUGAACUUCCAGUUUACAAUCAUCACAUUUGUAUAUAAUAGUGUAAGUUAAUAACAUCAACUUAAUUAAAU